GCUUGCGGAUUUUUUUUUUCAUAAGAAAAUUUCACGAAAAUGCAGUUAUUAAUUUAUAGUAAUAUAAGGAGAGUUUUGCUUACAAAUUAAAUUUAGUUUGCCUAUUAUAUUUUAAUUAUACUAUAUUUAAUUUAAGGAAAAUAAUGUAAUAUGAUAAAUUAUUAUUUUGAUAUCAAUUACUAGUAUUUCCUUUAUUUCUAAAUUUAAAAUAAUUAUAUAAUACUCCCUCCAUUUUGGUUUAAUAGGCCAUAUUUUUCUUAUUUGAAUAUCCCAAUUUAAUUGUCACUUCUCAAAAUGAAAGUAAAUACAUAACAAACAAUCUCACUCAACUUUUUAUUUAUAUCAAUGAUAUUUGUGGCCCACGAAUAUCAUGUCUCUUUUCACUUAAAAAAUAAGAUAGUAUUCAUUUUAUCUCCUAUUUUUUUAUUUUAUUUUUUUAAAAAAUUAUCUUAUUUAUUAUAAACUAUUUAUUUCUUAGCAUCUGUGCCUAGCUAGAUCCAAUGGCCUAUUAAUUAAAUUGAGAGGGAUGGAGUAUAUAUUACAUUUAAUAUUAUAAAUUUAUGGGAAACUAAACGAACAAUUCAUAUACUCCGAUCCCUCUUGGUUAGUAGAGAAAAAUGGUGUCGACAAAGUUAAGGUUUUGUAUAUUAUAAAUAGGAGGCAUCUUAUAUGUGUAUUUUCACGUACGUUUCUAUCUCAAAUCCUCUGGUGUUCCAUUUGAUGGAGUUGAAUUUACACGCACAGAAGGUUGAAGGAGAAGGUGGCGGUUACUACGCCCAAAACUCCGGCAGUCGGCGCCGGUAGACUUGUUCUGCACCCACAUGGCUUCGCUUGCAAGAUUGGUUACGUCGUCCAAGGUAGUUGCAGAGAAUUAAGGCAGAAGAGAAGGUGAUGAUUCCAAUUCAUGCGACUUCUUCUUCUCCGCCAACUUUAUCAGCAACGCAAUUAUCAUUAAGGUCCGAAAUUGGUGCGAUUCAGAUGGUAGGGUUGAAGGGUACGAUGAGAUUGAGGGAUUGGGAUUCGAAUUCAAUAUGUAUUUGGUUUUUUUAUGUUUGUUGCAGGGAACACAUCGCCAUAUAAAGCAUUGUCUUCAUCACUUUUGGAGGCUGCGUUUAAUUAAUGUGUCUCUUGAGUUCCUCAACA